rnacentral:tRNA from 1 species
GGUAUAGCUCAGCUGGUUAGAGCGCCAGGUUGUGGCCCUGGAGGCCGAGAGUUCGAAUCUCUCUAC